UAUAAGGGAAUUUGAGUUUUUGCUUACAUUGUUUGAUCACUCGUCUUAUUUAAAAAUUUUUGGAAUUAUUACUUUUUUACUUACUUUAUUAUCCAAAGUAUUUUAAGCACAACUUUUCUUUUUUAUAUUUGCACAAAUUUUUUAAAUAAGACGAGUGAUUAAACAGUGUAAACAAAAACUUAAAAUCCCUUAUA
rfam:Oryza glaberrima chromosome 1 Oglab01_0139_5, whole genome shotgun sequence.